rnacentral:piRNA from 1 species
UCUUGGAAUAGAGCAGCAAGGGAUGACAA